rnacentral:lncRNA from 1 species
UCAAAAAUGUAUGUUGCUGUAAAUCUUUUUUUUACUCCGUUUAUUUGGAAAAGGGAUGUAUAUGCUAUUCAAGUCUAGAGUUGGUUAUUGCGGUGAUCUGUUCUAUUGUCAUAUAUAUUAGGUAUUUAGUGUUAUCCUUUAUGUUAUUUUAAAUGAUGUUUAUAUAGAAGUUAUGUUAUAAAUUAUUUUUCUAUGUGCAAUAAUGUCAUGAAUGUAUUUAAAUGUAUAUGUUGAAAUAAGUAACACUUUCAAAUUAAUUUAAUAUUAAAAAACUUAACUACUAAUCUAAUUUUACACAGGGACUUUCUAUACUAAGGUUACUGGUCUCUAUUGGUUUUAACUGAUUAUUAAGCCGCCUGUUUAAAGCUAUCACCCAACAAUAAACUUAGUUUCGUAUCUCUGAUAUACAAUGCUAGUAGUUAUUUGCGUAUUUCACUGUUCAUUGUAAUUAUAUAAUUAUUAUUAGUUGUUAAUAGAAAAUCUGAUUAAUAGCCAUUAGCGAUGACAAAAAAUAUAAGAUUUUGAAAGAAUAUAAAUUAUUAAACUUAGAUGAUCGUUUUAAAGAACAUCACAGUUGUGUAAAAUGGUUUCCAUAUCAAACAAGAUGGUGGCUACUGAAAAUUCAAUAAACAAAUACCUCAAAGUUCAAAGAUCAAUAUUUAAAAAACAAUCUGAUUAAUCUUUUAAAAAACAACAUUUUGCAAUGACAAAAUGUAUAAAAUUUCAUUAAAACGAUUUUUUGUUAAACUUGAAAAUAUAGUUAUGAAAAACAACUUGUAAAUGUGAAAUGAUUUGCUAUAAAGUCACAUGACAUCUGCUACAGCCGAGAUCAGUUUGAUAAUUUGUAUAGACAUCGUUAUGAGUGACCAGUCCUGUUAGUAUAGAAAGUCCCUGUUUUAAUGUUAAAAUUAGUAGCUCCUUUUUUAAGGUAAAAUUUAAUAAGUUCUUGAUUUAAUUUUAACGUUGAAACAUCUUGAUUGAAUGUUUAAUUUAGUAUCAACUUGAUUUGAUGUCAAAUUAAGUUAAAACUUGAUUUAAUGUUGAAAAAUUUAAUAACUCCUUAAUUUUAUGUUAAAACUUGGGAAACGUAUUGUGAUAUCUUUACUUUGAAAUUGAAAACACACUUUACCAAUUACAGGGGUGGAUCCAGCCAUUUUAAAAAGGGGGGUUCCAGCUAUAUGCUCCCAUUCAAAUGCAUUGAUCGGCCAAAAAAAGGGGGGUUCCAACCCCCGGAACCCCCCUGGAUCCGCCAAUGAGUAAUAAGAUGUCAUUAAAUGCAAAAAAAAUGAUAAACUUGAAAUCAAAACAAAUCACAUAUACAGUACCAUGAAUUCAUUUCUAGCUAUUAGCAUAAUUAGUAUAGAAACAAAUAGUUUUGUAAAUUUUGCUGUCAUGUUUUGUUAGCCA